rnacentral:lncRNA from 1 species
CUCCUCUUUAGUCAACACCACAACACUAUUCACUCCCGGGCAGUUCGAAAUCUGAUAUCUUUCGCCGGAACUCCCUGAACAUCCGUUUGAGCUCAAACUUCACAGUCAUGUUCGGUUUUAUGUACUGAGUAAGAAUAUAUUUUAAGUUUUCAGUUUCGACCCUGUUUGGUCACUAAAAACUGUACCGAAUUGUAAUCUUUAUCAGAUAGCUGUCGGAUUUUAUUUCUCACUCUACGGGUGUCAGAAAAAUAUGAAACUUUAAAUCUAGUCUCAUAAAAAUAUUUCUGACUUAUCCUCCAAUUUUCAUAAUUUUCUGAGACUGCAUUUUCUGCCUAUUUAUCUGUCCCGUUUCCAACAGAAAAUUCUAGAUCUUCUGUUUUCAUUCCGAUUUCAGCACAAGUCACUUCUGACUUAUGUUUUACUCCUCUAAAUCCAAUAAAAAUAGUAUCUCACACUAUUUUUAUUUAUUUUUAUUUUUAUUUUUAUAUUUAAAAUCCGGUAUAUUACAUUCCAUCGCAACCUUACCGGAACCAUGCAAAUGGCUUUCCAACUAAAUGUACACCGUAAUUUCAUAAUUUAGAAGUCCGGUACCUUACAACU